AUUGAACGCUGGCGGCAGGCCUAACACAUGCAAGUCGAGCGGUAGAGAGAAGCUUGCUUCUCUUGAGAGCGGCGGACGGGUGAGUAAUGCCUAGGAAUCUGCCUAGUGGUGGGGGAUAACGUUCGGAAACGGACGCUAAUACCGCAUACGUCCUACGGGAGAAAGCGGGGGAUCUUCGGACCUCGCGCCAUUAGAUGAGCCUAGGUCGGAUUAGCUAGUUGGUGAGGUAAUGGCUCACCAAGGCGACGAUCCGUAACUGGUCUGAGAGGAUGAUCAGUCACACUGGAACUGAGACACGGUCCAGACUCCUACGGGAGGCAGCAGUGGGGAAUAUUGGACAAUGGGCGAAAGCCUGAUUCAGCCAUGCCGCGUGUGUGAGGAAGGUCUUCGGAUUGUAAAGCACUUUAAGUUGGGAGGAAGGGUAGUAACCUAAUACGUUGCUACUUUGACGUUACCGACAGAAUAAGCACCGGCUAACUUCGUGCCAGCAGCCGCCGUAAAAC
rnacentral:rRNA from 1 species